UACGUAGGGGGCGAGCGUUGUCCGGAUUUAUUGGGCGUAAAGAGCUCGUAGGCGGCUUAGCAAGUCGAGUGUGAAAACUCCAGGCUCAACCUGGAGACGCCACUCGAGACUGCUAUGGCUAGAGUCCGGUAGGGGACCACGGAAUUCCUGGUGUAGCGGUGAAAUGCGCAGAUAUCAGGAGGAACACCGGUGGCGAAGGCGGUGGUCUGGGCCGGCACUGACGCUGAGGAGCGAAAGCGUGGGGAGCAAACAGG
rnacentral:rRNA from 1 species